UACGUAGGGCGCGAGCGUUGUCCGGAAUUAUUGGGCGUAAAGAGCUCGUAGGUGGUCUGUUACGUCUGCUGUGAAAACCUAGGGCUUAACCCUGGGCCUGCAGUGGAUACGGGCAGACUAGAGGUAGGUAGGGGAGAAUGGAAUUCCCGGUGUAGCGGUGAAAUGCGCAGAUAUCGGGAGGAACACCGGUGGCGAAGGCGGUUCUCUGGGCCUUACCUGACACUGAGGAGCGAAAGCGUGGGGAGCGAACAGG
rnacentral:rRNA from 1 species